AGCAGAUGUGGGAGGUCUAGUCAGACAGUGAAGCAGACAGGAAGAACAGGAAUUAGGAACAGGAAGAGAGGGAAUAUGUUGGCAAUUGGUGGAGGAAGGAGUGUCUGGAGAGAGGAGAUGAGGAAGAUGGCCAGAAACACUCAACCAUCUGCUAUGUUAGGCAGAGCAGGACCCAAGCAGAGGUCACAGGCUCCAAGCUGGGGAUGGUUCUAGACCAGCUUCAUGUCUCUCAUUCUUGCUUUACCAGCAGACUACUCAGGCAUGUUCUUCACAUUGUGAAAGGCAGGUGUGGGAGAAAGGCAAGCGGAAACAUGAAAAAUCACCUAAGGACAGGCUCAGAACUGUUACACUGUUACUUCUGCCCAUACUCUUGGCCAAAACCAAGUGGAAUAACCUAAGUCCAACAUCAGUAGGGUGGAGAAACUUUCUGCAUCUAAUUAGAAGAACUGCAAAGCCACAUUUCAAAGAACAUGCAUGGAAGGGGCACUGAAGAAUUGAGAACAGCAUAAUUUACCAUUGUUAACCACCUGGGACUUUCCAGUUUACUUCCAACUGGCAGCAGGAGAGACACAGUUCUUUUCAUGGUAGCUGAAAACAGGAAUGAUUUGACCCAGGUGGUGAGAUCUGUUCCUAACUGCAGGAAUCAGGCUUUGUCCUUGCAUGCUCCUUAAUAUGACAUGUUAUUGUCACCAAGAUUCAGUAGUAUUAUUAAUUCAUUCCAUCUAUUGAGCGGACAAUGAUUCCCCUAUUUUGCAGGAAACGUGAGAUUAGAAAUACUGCCCUAGAACUGUUGCUAUGUUUGUAGUAUCCUGUUUGUGUAUUAAAGAUUUGAAUUCUUUA